UAGUGGUACAAAGGUUGCCCUAUAGAAUAUUCAUCAAGUAAUGUUGAUUCUUUGGCCAAGGAAAAUGAAAUAUUAUGGAAGCGUGUAAUAAUAUAUACAUGUGUGUGUGUGUGUGUGUGUGUGUGUUUUGAAUCAUAUCACAUA